UCUGCGAACUUCUCCCCACGGCCGGGUCUCUCAGCAGAUCUUCAGUUCUCUAUCAAACAUGUUGAUUUGGAAGAGAGUCUAAUUGUGACGUCACCGCAGGGGGUAGAGGAGGGGAGAAGCGCAAGGACGCAGUGCCGGUACUUUUCGGCCUCUCUGGCUGGUGGGGUGGGCAUGGCCAUGGCCAUGUGGCGGCUGUCAUGUAGGGGGCCGGCACUUCUGAAUUUGCAGCUACAUCACUGGAGCACUGAGGUAUAAAAGACGCAAUUCCUUGUAUGAGAUCCCUCGCUUCUGACACGGCGGUUUCUUCAGUACCCUUCCUCCUUGCUCCUGUAAUGUACGUACUUUCCCCCUUGAACUGGUUAGAAGCCUGGUUAAAACCAUUGCAAGCGUCCCAUUCAACAUGUAGAGACAUUGAGAGGAAAGGAUGGGACACGACCGAACCAAAGUGCAGCACUCUUCACCAGUUCCUUCGUUUCAGUGGGAGAGAUUUGGCAGUACAGUUUUACAGCAGUUUAUUCGGAAGUAUGUCCCACGGAUUUCAGUGGGAUCUGCUUGCUAGUAAGAGGGCAUAGGACUGCAGGCCUUCUUCAGCAUGUACUCUCAUUUUCCCUAUGGAACCCAUGCUUGGCAAACAAAAGUGUGAUACAAACAAACGAUUUGGUCCUUUGGUCUACUCUUGACUAACAGACUUAUCUUUGGGUUGCUUGCUACAGACCGUAAGGAAGAUUAACAUAUUUAAUAAGGCAGCUUUCCCUGCAUGGCGCCCAACAGAUGGCAGAGAGGGCCAGAGAGUUCAAGUAGGCGGUUUAAGAUUGGGGACAUCGCCUUUACUCUAUCUAUUCCGAGUUAUCACUGUGACUGUAUCAAUUUAAUGCACUGUCUUAGGCUGCAAAUGAUACUCGAUUUCUGUCCAGCGUUUCCUCUCUCUGUGCUCUGGAGACGCCCAUGUUUCAAGCACGUCCACAGCGGUGUGGCAAGAAGCACCAUGUGAAAUCAGAGCAUCCAGCUUGCUCCCUCAAACCCCAGUGACAAGGACAAAAAGUACAUAGAACAUGAAAUAGAAGCCUCAUCUGGAGAAGCCCCAGGUCGUUUCUUAAAUCACCUUUCCUCCUUGCUAUACGAGAUGAAUAAGCUGGAGGCUUUGAUUGCUAGUUCCCGAUUUUAGUCUAAUGUCUAAAGUCCU